AGAGUUUGAUCCUGGCUCAGGACGAACGCUGGCGGCACGCUUAACACAUGCAAGUCGAACGAGAGAAGAGGAGCUUGCUUUUCUGAUCUAGUGGCGGACGGGUGAGUAACACGUGAGCAAUCUGCCUUUCAGAGGGGGAUACCGAUUGGAAACGAUCGUUAAUACCGCAUAACAUAAUUGAACCGCAUGAUUUGAUUAUCAAAGAUUUAUCGCUGAAAGAUGAGCUCGCGUCUGAUUAGCUAGUUGGUAAGGUAACGGCUUACCAAGGCGACGAUCAGUAGCCGGACUGAGAGGUUGAUCGGCCACAUUGGGACUGAGACACGGCCCAGACUCCUACGGGAGGCAGCAGUGGGGAAUAUUGCACAAUGGAGGAAACUCUGAUGCAGCGAUGCCGCGUGAGGGAAGAAGGUUUUAGGAUUGUAAACCUCUGUCUUCAGGGACGAAAAAAGACGGUACCUGAGGAGGAAGCUCCGGCUAACUACGUGCCAGCAGCCGCGGUAAUACGUAGGGAGCGAGCGUUGUCCGGAAUUACUGGGUGUAAAGGGAGCGUAGGCGGGAUCGCAAGUCAGAUGUGAAAACUAUGGGCUUAACCCAUAAACUGCAUUUGAAACUGUGGUUCUUGAGUGAAGUAGAGGUAAGCGGAAUUCCUAGUGUAGCGGUGAAAUGCGUAGAUAUUAGGAGGAACAUCAGUGGCGAAGGCGGCUUACUGGGUUUUAACUGACGCUGAGGCUCGAAAGCGUGGGGAGCAAACAGGAUUAGAUACCCUGGUAGUCCACGCCGUAAACGAUGAUUACUAGGUGUGGGGGGACUGACCCCUUCCGUGCCGCAGCAAACGCAAUAAGUAAUCCACCUGGGGAGUACGACCGCAAGGUUGAAACUCAAAGGAAUUGACGGGGGCCCGCACAAGCAGUGGAGUAUGUGGAUUAAUUCGAAGCAACGCGAAGAACCUUACCAGGUCUUGACAUCGUAUGCAUAGCUCAGAGAUGAGUGAAAUCUCUUCGGAGACAUAUAGACAGGUGGUGCAUGGUUGUCGUCAGCUCGUGUCGUGAGAUGUUGGGUUAAGUCCCGCAACGAGCGCAACCCUUACUGUUAGUUGCUACGCAAGAGCACUCUAGCAGGACUGCCGUUGACAAAACGGAGGAAGGUGGGGAUGACGUCAAAUCAUCAUGCCCCUUAUGACCUGGGCCUCACACGUACUACAAUGGCUGUCAACAGAGGGAAGCAAAGCCGCGAGGUGGAGCGAACCCCUAAAAGCAGUCUUAGUUCGGAUUGUAGGCUGCAACCCGCCUACAUGAAGUCGGAAUUGCUAGUAAUCGCAGAUCAGC
rnacentral:rRNA from 1 species